UACGGGGGGAGCAAGCGUUGUUCGGAUUUACUGGGCGUAAAGGGCGGGUAGGCGGCCACCGCAAGUCAGUUGUGAAAUCUCUGGGCUUAACCCAGAAAGGUCAACUGAUACUGCGGGGCUAGAGUGCAGAAGGGGCAACUGGAAUUCUCGGUGUAGCGGUGAAAUGCGUAGAUAUCGAGAGGAACACCUGCGGCGAAGGCGGGUUGCUGGGCUGACACUGACGCUAAACUGCGAAAGCUAGGGGAGCGAACGGG
rnacentral:rRNA from 1 species